AAGCUUGCUUAGAUGAGUCGAGUGGCAAACGGGUGAGUAACGCGUAGACAACCUGCCGCAAAGAUGGGGACAACAGUCCGAAAGGACUGCUAAUACCGAAUGUUGUCAAGUUUCCGCAUGGGAACUUGAUUAAAGAUGGCCUCUACUUGUAAGCUAUCGCUUUGCGAUGGGUCUGCGUCUGAUUAGCUAGUUGGUGGGGUAACGGCCUACCAAGGCGACGAUCAGUAGCCGGUCUGAGAGGAUGAACGGCCACAUUGGAACUGAGACACGGUCCAGACUCCUACGGGAGGCAGCAGUGGGGAAUCUUCCGCAAUGGGCGAAAGCCUGACGGAGCAACGCCGCGUGAGUGAAGAAGGGUUUCGGCUCGCAAAGCUCUGUUGACGGGGACGAAUGUGCGAAAUGCGAAUAGUUUUUCGCAAUGACGGUACCCGUCGAGGAAGCCACGGCUAACUACGUGCCAGCAGCCGCGGUAAUACGUAGGUGGCGAGCGUUGUCCGGAAUUAUUGGGCGUAAAGGGAGCGCAGGCGGGAAGGCAAGUCAGUCUUAAAAGUGCGGGGCUCAACCCCGUGAUGGGAUUGAAACUGUCUUUCUUGAGUGCAGGAGAGGAAAGCGGAAUUCCUAGUGUAGCGGUGAAAUGCGUAGAUAUUAGGAGGAACACCAGUGGCGAA
rnacentral:rRNA from 1 species